CACGAGACCAGCACCGCCAGAGGCGCUAGUGUAGUUUACUCACAUUUUGGUAAAUCUAUUUGAAAGUGUUUUGCUGUGAGUUUUGACAGAUUCCUAAUCUCAACCGUGUUUGUUUUUAUUUAUAUUUACGAUUUUCCGUAUUCGCUUCGGUUAUGUGUAUUUAUAAAUAUCAUAAGUUUACCCCAGCAUUAUCCUGGAGUACCGGACUUGUUUCGCUAAGGUGUUAUCGCCGCCGACGACUGAUGCAGUAGAUGAGAACGUCGGCGCUUAGAUCCUCCAAGAGAAAUAGGAAUAUAGGAAUUGCCCCGUCAAACAGAAAAAGCAGAAAAUUAGUGAAACAGCGAAUGAAAACACCCGGUCUGUCACCGGAACAAUUGCCUGUGCGGAUGUUAGGGCUACACCAGAUCCCGAUGAAUACCAAAACCACCGUGGAAAAACUAGUAUCAGGUUAUCUAUGGCGACACGGACAGUAUCAUUAUCAACACCAAACAGCAUCGAUUCAGACGAGAUGUUCAAGAUAGGUGCUGACAUCCAGCAGAUCGCCAAUAAAACAUAUAAAUAGUUGGAGCUAGACAUCGACGGAUUGUACAAGUACGUCCUGCUGUUGAAGACAAGAAAGUACGACCGUUUGGAUUGCGAAGAUCGAGGAAACAUUCAAAUGCACCCAGGAGUUGAAAGGUUCGGAUAUCGUUCGGCAAAAUUGUUCGAGGAUGGCGGUAAUUACUGGAACUUCAAUAUUGAAUGAAAUCUUGUCGGACAACCCGAAUAGGGAACAUUCACACACAAAUAGACAAGUUAAAAAUGAUUUCAUGACCCCACUACAGAAGCUUCCCUCCUGGAAGGCACAACGCAAAUAACAAGACCGCUCAAUGAAUAUCAGGAUGCAACCCAGCUACCUCGCGUAACUGUUGCAAUGUGAGUGAAUAAAAUAAUGAAUUUAAUACGA